rnacentral:rRNA from 1 species
UACGGAGGAUGCAAGCGUUGUCCGGAAUGAUUGGGCGUAAAGCGUCCGCAGGUGGCUAUGUAAGUCUGCUGUUAAAGAGUGAGGCUCAACCUCAUAAAAGCAGUGGAAACUACAUGGCUAGAGUGCGUUCGGGGCAGAGGGAAUUCCUGGUGUAGCGGUGAAAUGCGUAGAGAUCAGGAAGAACACCGGUGGCGAAAGCGCUCUGCUAGGCCGCAACUGACACUCAUGGACGAAAGCUAGGGGAGCGAAUGGG